UGCAGUAUGUAACUUUUAUAAAAAAUAUAUAUUUUUUAACAUAUAUGUUGAAACUGUCACUGUUGUGACAUAUGCCUUCUCCUAGUGCUAACUAGAAACAACCAAUCAGAGCCAGGAGUCGUAGUGAUGUCAAUCAUGCCCAUUUAAACCCCUUUUCCUUUUUUUCCUUUCUGCUAUGAUAAAGCUUCUUCUUGACAUGAACCUGUCGUGAAUGCUAACUAUAGUUUGCACAGCCACCAAUAAUAUCUUCCCUGUAAUGGUAAGUUGUUUCUCCUCCCUUAGCACAUUUAGCAGGAAGUACAUGAGGAUGACUGACAGUGAUAAGCCCCUCCUCUUGGCUCUGAUUGGAUAUCCCUGGUGCUUUU